GAAAGGUGUGCUAAUACCGGAUACGUCUAAGUUAAUAUCUUUUUUUUAGAGAAAGGUGGCCUCUGAUUCAAGCUACUGUGCGGGGAGGAGCUUGCGUACCAUUAGCUAGUUGGUAGGGUAACGGCCUACCAAGGCGACGAUGGUUAGCGGGUCUGAGAGGAUGAUCCGCCACACUGGAACUGAAACACGGACCAGACUCCUACGGGAGGCAGCAGUGAGGAAUAUUGCGCAAUGGGGGCAACCCUGACGCAGCGACGCCGCGUGGAUGAUGAAGGCCUUCGGGUUGUAAAAUCCUGUCAGAUGGGAAGAAGUGCUAUAUGGUUAAUAUCUGUAUAGUUUGACGGUACCAUCAAAGGAAGCACCGGCUAACUCCGUGCCAGCAGCCGCGGUAAUACGGAGGGUGCAAGCGUUGUUCGGAAUUACUGGGCGUAAAGCGCGCGUAGGCGGCUAUGUAAGUCAGAUGUGAAAGCCCGCGGCUCAACCGUGGAAGUGCAUUUGAAACUGUAUAGCUUGAGUACUGGAGGGGGUAGUGGAAUUCCCGGUGUAGAGGUGAAAUUCGUAGAUAUCGGGAGGAAUACCGGUGGCGAA
rnacentral:rRNA from 1 species